rnacentral:rRNA from 1 species
UCUCUCAGUUCGGAUUGCAGGCUGCAACUCGCCUGCAUGAAGCCGGAAUCGCUAGUAAUCGCGGAUCAGCACGCCGCGGUGAAUACGUUCCCGGGCCUUGUACACACCGCCCGUCACACCACGAGAGUUUGUAACACCCGAAGUCGGUGAGGUAACCUUUUUGGAGCCAGCCGCCUAAGGUGGGAUAGAUGAUUGGGGUGAAGUCGUAACAAGGUAGCCGUAUCGGAAGGUGCGGCUGGAUCACCUCCUUU